UUAACUGAAUAUUGACUAAAGUCUAGCGUUAGGACCUAGGUACAUGAAAUACAAAAGGGCACAAAACUGACCCUUUUACCAAAAAGAAAAGAAAAGGAAGGAAGGAAGGAAGGAAGGAAGGAAGGAAGGAAGGAAGGAAGGAAGGAAGAAACAAACAAAGGAAAGAGGUAGAGAGGGAGGAAGAAUAAAAAGGAAAAUAACUUUUUCCUUUCGAUUUUGGAGAAAAUCAAGCAAAUAAAAAAAAAUGAAACUGAAACUAUUUGCCAACCUUGCUACUUGAUUGAAGCAAUUACAUUAGAAAACUCUUUUUGGAGUUUUCUGUAAGUAAAUAGAUGUGUUUGCAACUAUAGAACAUUUCUAAUACUCUUACAGUUUCAUGUAGCCUAAAAACAGAGAGUAUAACAUAGAUAGUAGACCCUGAGCAGCUUUAGCAAGAAAAAAAAAAGUUGAACAGUAAGGACUGUGCUAUCCAUGUUUCUCUUCCAAAGAGCAAGCUUGAUUAUAACUCUUCAGAUUUGCAAGUUACUCAUCUGAGUAAAGGGGGGAGAUGUAUCAGCCUUCUCUGGCCACAGCUGAGCAGGUGACAGAGCAAACUGGCAGCAGGAAACAUUAACAGAAGGAGCCAGAGAGUUUCCUGCCCAGGCCAACAGAGAGGAGAGGGAAGAAGAGGAAAGAAAAUGGUAACAGAAAUGUUUCUAAUGCCAGAAAUGUAAGAGUGCCUUUGUUAUAAAACACAGGCAUCGAUUUCCUGUUUCCAUAACUUGUGAUUGCAGGUAUCUCCUCCAGGAAUAUAGAAAUAGAAAGCAGGGAAACUAUGUAUACAGUGUCAAGGCAAUAAAAUGCCUCUCUCAGGACCUAAAAGUGGCCCCUGAAAUUGGAUGCAACUACCAGGUAAAGAACAUAAUCUCUAUAAAACUUGAAAAACAUGUAGAGUUCUGUUUUGUAUUUUGAAUAUAAAAUUUACCCUUGUCACUAAUUUUAAUAUCAAAAAUCGUCAUCAAAUUAGAAAUUAAUCUCAUGAUUCACAAAUAAAUAUUUUCUGUUUUAAGAAAGUAUAGUUGCU
rnacentral:lncRNA from 1 species